AUCCCACACACUGUUUAACUUACUCUGAAGCUGUGAAAGAUGUUGGAGACUAGAUUAGAGAAGAAACUAGUUCUUCAAACUGCCAUGCAGUAGCAUUUUUCGUUAGUGCUAUGUUUAUGCCAUGCAAACUGCGUUCUAGAGCCCGAAUUCGACUGCCUAUGCUGCUGUAGGGAGGCUGUCUUGUUUAUACCUCUAAAACAACAACAGCAAAGAUUCUAAUUUUCAGAGCACCAAACAGCACAAAUGCGGAAUUAACGAAUCAUGGAGUUUUCAUGUGCCCUGUCUUUUGGGGGGCCAACUUCAUGGAGCUGUGCAGCAGCUAGUUCUGGAAUGAAGGUGUAUUAAUGGGUCAAAGGGAGUCAACAGGGACAGUCGCUUUCUUUUAAUGUCCAACUUUAUUAAAAAAAAAAAAAAAAGAUUAUUCACCCUGUUCUGUGCUUAAAUCCUGCGCUGCUUCUUCAAUUGAUGACUUACGAACUGAUGAAAGUUCUCUCUCCUAAAUGAAAAGAAAGCAGUAAGCCUAAGGAAAGUUGUUUUAAAAACUGUGCAAUUAUAAAUUCAUGUUAAUAUUUAAAAAUCAAGCUGUUAUUUAGUUGUUUUACAAACUAGCCAUUUCCAUGCAAAGAUCAUUAAAAUAAGCUGAUGCAAUACUAAACAGACCUGGGGUUUGGUGAGAGGCCUUGACUCCCUACAGAAAAAAAAAGUGAAAUAAUGACUUCUCAUACAUUAGGGAAUUAAAAGAAAUGUAUUGAUACUAAAACCACAAGGUGGAAUUACCUCUGCUGUGAAUAUUUCAUCUUCCAGAUAAAGAAUAUAAGGACAGCCAAGAGAACAACAAUAAGUGCAAUAAAUACUCCAUAUAUCCCUCUAGGAGUAUCACCUGGAAAGGAAAAAAAAAAAAGCUGUUUUCAGAAUGAAAUCAAAAUACUGAAUUUAUAUUUAAUGGACACCGUUGCCAAAGGUAACAUAUGUCUCUCACCUAUAUAUACAAACAGGCUCGCAGAUGCUCGACCAAACUGGUUUGAGGCCUCACACAAGUAGAGUCCACUGAGAUCUGCGCUGGCUGCUGACAACAUCAGUCUGCUCCCUCCAUUUUCAACUGAAGCACUGGACAUUGUGCCAUUGACUCUAAAAAAAUAUAAUGUUUACUACAAACUAUGCUAUGAGGUAUAGUCUGUUUGGACACAAACUAUAUCCACAGCAAGUAAAUAUUUUGUUUGUAAUGAGCAAAUGUAAUUUAAAUUUAGCGCUGACAGCUGUAAAUUUUGUACAA
rnacentral:lncRNA from 1 species